GUCGAGAGGCUUCGGCAAUGGGGGAAACCCUGACCGAGCGACGUCGCGUGGGUGAAGAAGAUCCUUGGAUCGUAAAACCCUGUCAGGUGGGAUGAACAACAUUCGGUAAACAGCCGAGUGUUUUGACAGUACCACCAGAGGAAGCUCCGGCCAACUCCGUGCCAGCAGCCGCGGUAACACGGGGGGAGCAAGCGUUGUUCGGAAUUAUUGGGCGUAAAGAGCUCGUAGGCUGUUCCGUAUGUCAGAGGUGAAAUCUGAUGGCUCAACCAUCAAUCCGCCUUUGAAACUAUGGAACUUGAGUGCAGGAGAGGAAAGUGGAAUUCCUGGUGUAGCGGUGAAAUGCGUAGAUAUCAGGAGGAACACCGGUGGCGAAGGCGACUUUCUGGCCUGAAACUGACGCUGAGGAGCGAAAGCCAGGGGAGCGAACGGGAUUAGAAACCCCGGUAGUCC
rnacentral:rRNA from 1 species